rnacentral:lncRNA from 1 species
UACGGUGGGCAUUCUGGGGCUGCCUCAGAAGGGCACAAGCUCCCUCUCUCCACCCCUAUCUUCCCGGGUUUGUAUUCUGGGAGCCUGUGUAAUUCAGGCCUCAACUCCAGGCUCCCGGCCGGGUACUCCCAUUCUCUGCAGUACUUGAAGAACCAGACGGUGCUUUCUCCUCUCAUGCAACCCCUGGCUUUCCACUCGCUCGUGAUGCAGAGAGGAAUUUUUACAUCGCCGACAAAUUCUCAGCAGCUGUACAGACACUUGGCCGCAGCCACCCCUGUAGGAAGUUCCUACGGGGACCUGUUGCACAACAGCAUCUACCCAUUAGCUGGUAUCAACCCUCAGGCUGCCUUCCCAUCUUCUCAGCUGUCAUCCGUACACCCCAGCACAAAACUGUAAGCCUCGAUUUGCCCAGCAUCCCCAAAUGGUGUGGUCCAUUGCACCAACUCUUGGAGGGGCUGGCUUGCAAAGUUGGAAGUCAGUAUUCCUUCUGAUCUGGUUUCGCCCCAGCCAUAGAGGUGUACAUACCUACCUUUUCGGGGACAACCCUAGCCUGACUGACCAAUUGUGACCUCUCCCUUCCAACACAGAUGGCCUAGGGCCUGGGGGUCAUUGUCUUUUCACGUUGGUCCUGUGAAGGUAUCUGUGGUCUAUCCUAGAAGAACGCAGAGGACCCCAUCUGAGUUUGGAUGGUAAGGAAGCAACUUGAGCAUAAAGUUCUGGGGUGGGGGAGGCAGGCUUUUCAAAGGCAAGGGCAAGAAAGACUGGCACGGAAUAGCCAGGGGAUGCCCGUCUUUUUCAUCAAACUCACCAAGUUCAAUCAAUGCAAUGUAUAGUAAAACUUAAAGAGACCUUUCAUUCUGACACUAUUAAACAAUCCAGAGAAGGAAACACUGUUAAACUGUAUAUAUUCGCUUCUUAAAGCUACCCGUAUCACUGUUGGCUCACCUAAUUUAUAUACAGGUAGUUGUGUUUCCCUCCCGGUUCCUUCUUGUUCCUGCCCUAGGGUUUUUUUUGUUUUGUUUUUGUUUUUUUUUGUUUUUUUUGGUUUGUGUAUCUGUUUGUUUGUUUGUUUGUUUUUUAAUUAAACAGCAUCCCUUCUGU